AAUCGCUGUUAAAAAUGAUUUUCGCGCAAAUUUCUCAAAGCUUCAGAAGACCCGUGAGUAAGUAAUAAGAAAACUGUAAGAUUUUCUGUAGAUUACAACUUGAUGUAGUAAAUUGACUUUUUUUUUAAAAAGAAAAAUAUUCAAUCAGUUCAGAUGCUGAAAACUCUUAUCGCUGAAGUUCAACCAGUAAGAAGUUGAUAAAGAGGAGCACAAAUUAACCAAACAAAUAUCACUUCACAAAAGAUCCUGCCGGAAAACUCACCUCAAAACCGAUAAGUCGCCG
rnacentral:misc_RNA from 1 species